UUAAGUUCAGCGGGUAUCCCUACCUGAUCCGAGGUCAAGAGCAAAUGUAAAGGCUUACUGGAUACCAACAUGAGGGCAAGAAGCGCAAAAUGUGCUGCGCUCCGAGACAAUAUGCCGGCUGCCAAUUGCUUUAAGGCGAGUCCACGCGCAAAGCGGGACAAACACCCAACACCAAGCAGAGCUUGAGGGUACAAAUGACG
rnacentral:misc_RNA from 1 species